AUUGAACGCUGGCGGCAGGCCUAACACAUGCAAGUCGAGCGGAUGAAGGGGGCUUGCUCCUGGAUUCAGCUGCGGACGGGUGAGUAAUGCCUAGGAAUCUGCCUGGUAUUUGGGGAUAACGUCCGUAAACGGGCGCUAAUACCGCAUACGUCCUUAUGGAGAAAGUGGUGGAUCUUCGGACCUCACGCUUUCAGAUGAGCCUAGGUCGUAUUAGCUAGUUGGUAGGGUAAAGGCCUACCAAGGCGACGAUCCGUAACUGGUCUGAGAGGAUGAUCAGUCACACUGGAACUGAGACACGGUCCAGACUCCUACGGGAGGCAGCAGUGGGGAAUAUUCGACAAUGGGCGAAAGCCUGAUCCAGCAAUGCCGCGUGUGUGAAGAAGGUCUUCGGAUUGUAAAGCACUUUAAGUUGGGAGGAAGGGAAGUAAGUUAAUACCUUGAUGUUUUGACGUUACCAACAGAAUAAGCAACGGCUAACUUCGUG
rnacentral:rRNA from 1 species